AGUCAAAAUGCAGUAAAAACUAAGAGCUGGCAUCUUCCAAGGAGUGCUUAAAGUCUAAAAACUUUGAGAACCAUUCCCUUGACCAACUGCUUGUGGACUUUUAGUAAACACGACCCAGUUUUUU